UUGCAGCCCGGCUUGAGCGGAAAUCCUUUUUUUGCUUAUACUUAAUUUCUAUCUAACGUGAAAUCGUCUGGAAAAAAGAUUGGGAGCGGAAGACGGAUUAAGC
rnacentral:sRNA from 1 species